GGAAAUAUAAAACUUAGCUAUUUCAGAUUGG
rnacentral:piRNA from 1 species